GGAGGUGGGGUAAUAGCAUGUGCUUGGCAUGCAAAAGGUCCUGGGUUCAAUCCCCAGCGCCUCCG
rnacentral:tRNA from 1 species